CUUUCUUGAGCAAGAGUUUAGUUGCUCAACUAUCAGUAAUAGUGUAUAAAUAAAGAGACAGGAGCUGGAGACUGAGCUGAGAGAAAGAGGAGAGCAGAAAUGGGCGUGCUAUUCCUGGUGGUGUUAUUGUUUGUUGGAGCGAUUGCCCGUCCAGAAAAUGGCAGGCGUUCAGGUCAGCAAGGUCCUGGACCAAGGGGAGGAGUUUCUGGGCCAAUGGGUGGAGGUUCUGGACCAAGGGGAGGAGUUUCUGGGCCAAUGGGUGGAGGUUCUGGACCAAGGGGAGGAGUUUCUGGGCCAAUGGGUGGAGGUUCUGGACCAAGGGGAGGAGUUUCUGGGCCAAUGGGUGGAGGUUCUGGACCAAGGGGAGGAGGUUCUGGGCCUAAGGGAAGACAACCUUGGCCAAAGAAUGAAAGUUCUGAGCUAAUGGGAGGACAUCAUGGGCCAAAGAAUGAAAGUUCUGAGCUAAUGGGAGGACGUCAUGGGCCAAAGAAUGAAGGUUCUGGACGAUUGGAUGGAAGAGGGUCUCAGCCUCCAGUUGAGGAUUUUGGAUCUGUGAGGCCUUCAGAUUACAGAGGACCACAUGGCCGAGGACCACAUGGCCGAGGACCACAUGGCCGAGGACCACAUGGCGGAGGAAGACCAACUCAGUCCAUGCCCAACGUGCGGCUCAUCCCCAUUUUCAAGGUGGACAAUAUAACACUCCAGGGUCUCAAUAUCACUCUGCCCCUGAAAGAGGGAGAAAAUAUUUUCAUCUUACCAAGAACGGACAGGACUGCUCCUCGGGCGUUUGCGUAUGGAGGCAUGAUUGGUCCUCAGCCCUAUCUGAAGAUCAUCUACAACCCCAGUGCUGCGCAACGGUUCUCAUUUGAAUAUGGAGUUAUUCAACUCCUUCCAUCUUUCCUGAAGGCUGAAUCGGAGAGUAAUGAAGAUACAGCGGUGUAGGAGGAAAGACAAAUCUACAUCAGACAUGGCUUUAAGGGAAAACAGAUGUCCAGAGAUCAUCGAUCACUACAGCGUUAAGGACUUUUAAUGACUUUCGGGAUUAUGUAGGCGUGUGUGUGUAGAUGUUGUGUAAUGUGUGUAGAGGUGUGUGUAGAUGUGUAGAUGUAAAUGUGUGUAGAUGUGUGUGUAGGUGUGUGUGUGCAGGUGUAGUGGGCUUCUUUAUUAAUGAAAUGUCUGUAAUGAUGGAUUUUUGUCAUUCAUUAAACACGUCAGCAUCCACA
ensembl:lncRNA